rnacentral:rRNA from 1 species
UACAGAGGGUGCAAGCGUUAAUCGGAAUUACUGGGCGUAAAGGGCGCGUAGGCGGCCGAUCAAGUCAGAUGUGAAAGUCCUGGGCUUAACCUGGGGACUGCAUUUGAUACUGAUUGGCUUGAAUGCAGGAGAGGAUAGCGGAAUUCCCAGUGUAGAGGUGAAAUUCGUAGAUAUUGGGAAGAACACCGGUGGCGAAGGCGGCUAUCUGGACUGUGAUUGACGCUGAGGCGCGAAAGCGUGGGGAGCAAACAGG